AUUGAACGCUGGCGGCAGGCCUAACACAUGCAAGUCGAGCGAGCGGCGGACGGUAGAGUAAUUUCUGGGAAACUGCCUGAUGGAGGGGGAUACCUACUGGAAACGGUAGCUAAUACCGCAUCCCAUCAGAUGUGCCCCAAGGUGAUUAGCUAGUGGGUGGGGUAACGGCUAACCUAUGCGACGAUCCCUAGCUGCUCUGAGAGGAUGACCAGCCACACUGGAACGGAGAAACGGUCCAGACUCCUACGGGAGGCAGCAUUGGGUAAUAUUGCACAAUGGGAGCAAGCCUGAUGCAGCAAUGCCGCGUGUGUGAAGAAGGCCUACGGGUUGUAAAGCACUUUCAGCGGGGAGGCGUUACCCGCAGAAGAAGCACCGGCUAACUCCGUGCCAGCAGCCGCGGUAAUAC
rnacentral:rRNA from 1 species